rnacentral:sRNA from 1 species
GAGAACAAAGAUAGAGAUCGGGGACACGAUCCGAGUCAGAGGCAGUAUCCGCACAUACAGAGAAGAGCGAGAGAUUCAUGCCACCGCUUACUGUAAGCACAAGAUAUUUCUACCAAAUUGGUGGUUUUUCUGGAUGUGCGUCCAGUAAACCUCUUGUUCAGCUGGAAGUCAAACUUUCAAAAAGUUCAGUUAAGAUAAAGUGGACGACCCAGUGUGGAACAUUCAAAUUGCAAGGAUGCUUGAGCUGCCCACUAUCUACAGGAAAGUUUAUGACCAGCCUUUUCACAGCUCAGCCCUAGAGAAAGAAGAGGCACUAAGCAAUCCAGGCGCCCUGGACCUCCCCAGUCUCACGAGUUUGCUGAGUGAAAAAGCCAAAGAAUUCCUCAUGGAGAACAGAGUGCAGAGCUUUUACCAGCAGGAGCUGGAAAUGGUGGAGUCUUUGCUGUCCCUUGCCAAUCAGCCUGUGAUUCACAGUGCAUGCUCCGACCAAGUGAAUUUUAAGAAGGACACCACUUCCAAGGCAAUUCAUAGUAUAUUUAAGAAUGCUAUACAACUGCUGCAGGAAAAAGGACUUGUUUUCCAGAAAGAUGAUGGUUUUGAUAACCUGUACUAUGUAACCAGAGAAGACAAAGACCUGCACAGAAAGAUCCACCGGAUCAUUCAGCAGGACUGCCAGAAACCAAAUCACAUGGAGAAGGGCUGUCACUUCCUGCACAUCUUGGCCUGUGCUCGCCUGAGCAUCCGCCCGGGCCUGAGCGAGGCUGUGCUGCAGCAAGUUCUGGA